GACGAACGCUGGCGGCGUGCUUAACACAUGCAAGUCGAACGGAAAGGCCUGCUUUCCCUUGUGGUUUGCGGGUACUCGAGUGGCGAACGGGUGAGUAACACGUGAGUGAUCUGCACCCAACUUGGGUAUAAGCAUGGGAAACUGGGUCUAAUUAUCGAUAGGACUGCAGGGUGGUGUCUGUGGUGGAAAACGUUCUUCUAGUGGUUGGGGAUGAGCUCGCGGCCUAUCAGCUUGUUGGUGGGGUAAUGGCCUACCACGGCGGGGACGCGUAGCCGGACUGUGAGGGUGGACGGUCACAUUGGGACUGAGUUCCGGCCCAGACUGCUGCGGGCGGCAGGAGAGGGGAAGAUAGCGCAAGGAGCGGAAGCCUGAUGCAGCGACUCCGCGUGGGUGAUGACGGCCUUCGGGUUGUAAGCUCCUUUCGACCACGAGGAAGCCACCUGGUUGGAAGGGUGGUGACGGUAGUGGUAGAAGAAGCACCGGCUAACUACGUG
rnacentral:rRNA from 1 species